rnacentral:tRNA from 1 species
GGGAAUGUAAUUUAGUGGUUGAGCACUUGCCUACCAUGCAUGAGGCCCUGGGUUUAACCCCCAGCAUUGCAA